UACGGGGGGGGCAAGCGUUGUUCGGAAUUACUGGGCGUAAAGGGCUCGUAGGUGGCCAACUAAGUCAGACGUGAAAUCCCUCGGCUUAACCGGGGAACUGCGUCUGAUACUGGAUGGCUUGAGUUCGGGAGAGGGAUGCGGAAUUCCAGGUGUAGCGGUGAAAUGCGUAGAUAUCUGGAGGAACACCGGUGGCGAAGGCGGCAUCCUGGACCGACACUGACGCUGAUGAGCGAAAAGCCAGGGGAGCAAACGGG
rnacentral:rRNA from 1 species